CAGCGCGGAGCCGCCCGCCCCGCUGCGAUCGCGAAAGUCUCUGCUUGAGCCCCUUAACAUCGGGAUCGGGAGAUUUCGGGAAGCUCGGCCUUGGGCAUGUCGCGUCCACUUAUUUAUUUAUUUGUUUUUGGAAGGGGGUGUCCUUCCUUUUGGCUUCAGUUGGUUUCCAAAGCUGUGGCGCAACUGUCUCAUUUUUUUUCUUCCCUCUCUCUCCCCCUUUGGGAUGAGGGGGCAAACAGGCUCCUCAGUUUUGUCUCCUCUUCGCUGGGAAUAAAACUUGGAAGCGCAGUUGGGAUGUAUGAAGAGCUCCACCUGCCCGGCUCCGGGCUCCUGCUGCCCUUCUUUCACUUUGCGUCCAGGAAUACCUCCAGCUGGGUGGUAUCACCCCAGUUUUUGCCACUUCCUGGGGUUCCUCUGGCACCUCUCCAAUGGAGCAUCCCCAUCCCCAUGAGCAGGUGUCUGAAGUUCUGCUCGCCUUCAAAAGUAGUGCUGAAUUCCCAGGAUGUAAGAAAUACAAUGCAGUAUCAUGCAGCAAAUGUGAGCUGAUGGUCACAGUUGGGGCUGAAAUCCUUUAUUAAACAAAACAAGAGUCAAGUGAACAAAGAAGGUUGGAGCCGUUCACAAGAUCUUUUGGUUUAUUGCUCAACCUGUCAUAGAAGUCACCUUCUGGGAGCGUAGCCUGGGCUGCCAUGGCUAGCAAAAGAAAGUCAACAACUCCCUGUAUGGUGCGAACCUCUGAAGUGAUGGAGCAGGAAGUCCCAGAGGGUGCAGAAACUGCUAAAGAGAAGGGGCCUGGCACACCACAGCAAGAUGCUAAAAAAACUUGGCCUUCAGAAAGCUCAGUGAAAGAGUNNNNNNNNNNUCGAGGCUAAGCCCUCUGCUGAAAAUCCGUCUAAGAAACCCCAGGGUGGUUAUGAGUGUAAAUACUGCCCUUACUCUACACAGAACUUAAAUGAAUUUACAGAGCAUGUUGACACUCAGCAUCCGAAUGUCAUUCUCAACCCCCUGUAUGUCUGUGCUGAAUGCAACUUCACAACCAAAAAAUAUGAUUCUUUAUCUGACCACAACACAAAGUACCACCCAGGAGAGAGUAACUUUAAACUGAAAUUAAUUAAACGCAAUAACCAGACUGUUUUAGAGCAGUCCAUUGAGACCACCACUAAUGAUGUCACUGUCACGAGCAGUGGGGUGGAAAGUGCAGAGUGUGAGGAUUCACUUCAUGGGGGAA
rnacentral:lncRNA from 1 species